CGCCUGGGGAGUGCGGUCGCAAGAUUGAAACUCAAAGGAAUUGACGGGGGCCCGCACAAGCGGUGGAGCAUGUGGUUUAAUUCGAUGAUACGCGAGGAACCUUACCAGGGCUUAAAUGUUUCUGACAGCUUUAGAGAUAGAGUUUUCUUCGGACAGAAUACAAGGUGCUGCAUGGUUGUCGUCAGCUCGUGCCGUGAGGUGUCAGGUUAAGUCCUAUAACGAGCGCAACCCUUGUCGUUAGUUGCCAGCAUUUCAAAUGGGGACUCUAGCGAGACUGCCGGUGCAAACCGGAGGAAGUGGGGAUGACGUCAAAUCAUCACGGCCCUUACGUCCUGGGCCACACACGUGCUACAUGGUAUAGACAAUGAUAGCCACUACGCGAGUACGCGCGAUCUAUAACUAUAUCACAUUCGGAUCGAUCUGCACUCACUCCUGACUGGAUCCCAUAUCGGAUAUCACAUGAUCCGUGAUACUUCCGGGCUGACACACGCCGUC
rnacentral:rRNA from 1 species